UACAGAAGCCCCGAGCGUUACCCGGAUUUACUGGGCGUAAAGGGUGCGUAGGCGGCCAUAUUAGUCAGUUGUUAAACCUUCAGGCUCAACCUGAAGCGCGCGAUUGAAACGGUAUGGCUUAGAAGGAGUGAGAGGUGUGCGGAACUCAAGGUGUAGGGGUGAAAUCCGUUGAUAUCUUGGGGAACACCAAAUGCGAAGGCAGCACACUGGCACUUUCUUGACGCUGAGGCACGAAAGCGUGGGUAGCGAA
rnacentral:rRNA from 1 species